CUCUACAAAGCUGAGUCUCGUCAAUUAGAUUAUAAAUAAGUCUCAUUUUGAAAGAAGUACUGAAAUGUUUUUUUGAAAAGGAUGAAGAAGACUUGUUUAUCAAACAGUGUAAAAAUAGAUCAUUAAGAUCGACAUCUCUUACAUAUUUCAACAUAACUAUGGCAACCAAGAAGUUUUUAUCUCUCAUAUCCUUGAUGGUGUUGGUUUCCAUCUAUCUUCCCAUGGUUUCAGGACAAGUCAGAGAAUGUUUUCUACAACAACAGUGUAAGAACUCAACGACAUGUAAUGAGUUUUGUAGGUUUAAAGGAUACAGACUAGGAGGAUUUUGUGAGCACUUUGUUGGCUCAAAGAACGGCCAUUGUUGCUGCUAUUUUGGUUUUGAGUCUGAAAAGUUUUCCAACUCCGAUGAUACCAAUGUAUUCAUUACUAAUUAAUUCAUCAUUGUAGUGGUUCAAAACAAUGUAUUCUUAGCAGAGGCGGAUCUAGAAAAUGAUAUAACAUGG